rnacentral:rRNA from 1 species
AUUUAGUUAAAUAUAAUUUCGACUAUGUCGUAUAAAAUUCUAGGUAGAAUAAUGAUAAUGACAAUUUUCUAUCUAUUUGUCUUGACCAAAUCUCGUGCCAGCARUCGCGGUAAUACGAGGGAGACUAGUGUUAGUCAUCUUUAAUAGGUUUAAAGGGUACCUAGACGGUAUUUCAAGCCAUUCACAUGGGACAGAUUUACUAGAGUUUAAUAUGUGAGCAGGUAGUAUUUUUGGUGUAGAGAUAAAAUUCGUUGAUACCAUAAGGACUGGUAAAAGCGAAAGCAACCUUAAGUGUUUUUAACACUAAGACUAGUAGGUUAUAUAACAUGGGGUGUAUUUAAGGGUAAAUACCACAUAGGGUUAUAAUUAUACUGUCUUAAAACUAUGUAUAAACUGACGUUGAGGGACGAAGGCCAGGGGAGCAAGAAGGAUUAGAUACCCUAGUAGUCCUGGCAGAAAAUGAUGAGUGUCAUAAACUAGAUAUUUUAGUUUAUAAAUGAAAGUGUAAGCAUUCCACCUCAAGAGUAAUGUGGCAACACAGGAACUGAAAUCAUUAGACCGUUUCUGAAACCAGUAGUGAAGUAUGUUAUUUAAUUCGAUGCUCCGCGAAAACCUUACCACAAUUUGAAUAUUUUUACAAGCGCUGCACGGCUGUCUUCAGUUAAUGUCGUGAGAUUGUGGUUAGCUCCAUAAAAUUAGCGUAAACCCUUGCUUUAUUUAUAUUUUUAAUAAAGUAGUUCGCCGUUAUAUUGGUUUGAUAUAAGGGAUCAAGACAAGUCAUCAUG